AUGGCCGCCGCCGCGUUGGGUGACGUUGAUGAUCUCGACUUCGACCUGGGUUUUAUCGACGGGCUCGAGUGCUUCGACUUCGAGUUCGACCUGCCGGACAUGGGCCUCACCGAGUUGUGCCACGGCGGCGACGGCGAGUGCUUGCUGCCCGCCGUGGCCGAUAAGGAGGGCGGUUUGGGUUUGGAUCUGGGUUCUCGUGAUGGUGGCGACGGCGGGAGAGAGAGCUCGCCGGACUCCGUGGUGACGGACGACGGCGCGCCGCCUCUGUCGUUAGAGUCGUCUGGGGAUCGCGACGAUGGCGAGAUGUCGGCCUACGUGGGCGACCUGGAGAGGUUCCUCAUGGAGAGCGAGGAUGACGCCGAGGCCGGCGGGCCGUUCGCGGCCAAGGGGCUUGCCGCCAACGACCACUUGUUCGACGAUCUCGCUGUUGCGGACGACGGUUACGUCGAGCCGUCCACUGCAGCGGAAGAGUUUGCCGCCGCCGGCUACUACUACUUCGGUGAUCUCGACGACGGUUACGCGGAGCCGGCGACUCCAGGGAAGGAUCUCGUCCUCGACGACUACUUGUUCGGCGAUCCCGUUGUUGCGGGCGACGGUUACAUCGAGCCGUACACUGCAGGGGAGGAUCUGGUCUCCGACGACUACUUCUACGAUGUUGCUGCUGUGGACGAUGCUGCUCGCGAGGACGACGACGAAGCGACCUCGAGGAAGCGUGCAAGGCAGAGGAAGGGCGCCGCUGCGGUGCCACGUGAAGCAGAGCUCCGGGGAACGCCGGUGAUGCAUGCCAUCUCGUCGAUCUCGACUGGAAACGGGUGCCGCCCCAUUGGUCACCAUUGGCUGCAUCCCUGCGCCACAGUGUGCCUAUUGGCCUGA
rnacentral:rRNA from 1 species